rnacentral:rRNA from 1 species
UACAGAGGUCCCAAGCGUUGUUCGGAUUCACUGGGCGUAAAGGGUGCGUAGGCGGUGAGGUAAGUCGGAUGUGAAAGCUCGGAGCUCAACUCCGAAAUGGCAUUGGAAACUACCUUGCUCGAGGGUUGGAGGGGGGACUGGAAUGCUUGGUGUAGCAGUGAAAUGCGUAGAUAUCAAGCGGAACACCAGUGGCGAAGGCGAGUCCCUGGACAAAUCCUGACACUGAGGCACGAAAGCUAGGGGAGCAAACAGG